rnacentral:rRNA from 1 species
GACGAACGCUGGCGGCGUGCCUAAUACAUGCAAGUCGAACGGUUUAGUUCCAAGAGGCUUGCCUUUUGGAACUAGACAGUGGCGGACGGGUGAGUAACAUGUAGGCAACCUACCUGUCAAACCGGGAUAACCUCGGGAAACCGAAGCUAAACCCGGAUAAGCUCCUUUUUCGCAUGAAGGGGGAGUGAAAAGGUGCGACCUGAUGACAGAUGGGCCUGCGGCGCAUUAGCUAGUAGGUAGGGUAACGGCCUACCUAGGCGAUGAUGCGUAGCCGACCUGAGAGGGCGUACGGCCACACUGGGACUGAGAUACGGCCCAGACUCCUACGGGAGGCAGCAGUAGGGAAUCUUCAGCAAGGGGCGAAAGCCUGACCGAGCAACGCCGCGUGAGUGAGGAAGGCCUUCGGGUUGUAAAACUCUGUUGUUUGGGAAGAAGGGAAAGGGUAGGACCCUUAGGUGACGGUACCAAACGAGAAAGCCCCGGCUAACUACGUG